CCUCAUGUAAUUGGCAGCUCCACUUAUGACUGAUGAAAAUAUCUAUACAUACAGCCCAGACGACAAGACCCUAAAAUCUAAGCAGCUUUAGAUGGGGCAUCUAAGGUUUGUACAACUAAUCCACCCAGCACGCAUCAGUUACUUUAGGGAUAACAGGAUAAUAUUCUGGCCCCUGACCUAAGGGGACAGAAGCGUAUCACCUCGAUGUUGAACCGAAGGCCAUCCCAGUAACCCGGGCACACUUGUGUCUGUUCGACACACCCCCUUCACGUGAUUUGAGUUCAGACCGGCGCGAGCCAGGUCGGUUUCACCCUGGCUAUAAGACAAUGGGCUUUAGUACGAAAGGAAUAAGCCC
rnacentral:rRNA from 1 species